rnacentral:rRNA from 1 species
CACGUAGGGGGCGAGCGUUGUCCGGAUUUAUUGGGCGUAAAGAGCUCGUAGGCGGCUCGGUAAGUCAGGUGUGAAAACUCUAGGCUCAACCUAGAGACGCCACCUGAUACUGCUGUGGCUAGAGUCCGGUAGGGGAGCAUGGAAUUCCUGGUGUAGCGGUGAAAUGCGCAGAUAUCAGGAGGAACACCAGUGGCGAAGGCGGUGCUCUGGGCCGGAACUGACGCUGAGGAGCGAAAGCAUGGGGAGCGAACAGG